CAGACGUUCACCUGGUGCAGCAGGCUCGCCACCGACGAUCUGCUGGAGUGCGAGGACAGCAGCGCCCGCAGCUUCUGCUGCUUCACAGAGGAGGCCGCCAGCUGGUCCAGCCUACAGGUGACAGACAGACCUGCACAGGUGUGACUGAGGGAGGGGGCCACCUUGAAGGCGUGGAUGGCCUGCUGGUGGGUCAGGCCCUGCAGAGACUCUCCGUUCACCUCCAGGAUCUCAUCUCCUGCAUAGACAAACACAAAACCAGUGGUAGAUUUCUACGUUGACGAGCACUGUGCAGACCAGCCCCCCCGCUGAGACACACACCCAACACCUGGUCAAGGUCAUUCCGGAUGCUGGAUAACAGCCACAGCUGCUCUGGAUCCUCCAGAGAGAAGGACGGAGACACAAACCGUCAAACCUGCCUGUCCGAGCUUUGUUAGUGCACGUGAGUCAGGAGAGCGCCCACCUUUCC